UUGUAAUGAUGUUGAUCAAAUGUCUGACCUGAAAUGAGCAUGUAGACAGAUUUAACACUGAAAAC